AGAGCACUAGUUCCUCUUCAAAAGAGGACUGUCAUUUUGGAAGAGAGCAGAACAUUUUAUUAUCUGAUUGCCACUGUCAGAGGUUUUCGCUGAGCUGUCCGCAAAUGACUUCUGCUAACAUCCUUGCCAUCGUGUUCACUUUCAAAAGGGCUGAUGUAAAUUUUUUGUGUUUUGAUGAUUUCCAUAAAACUAAACUCUGUGCAAUCCGGAGAGACCAAGGACGUGCCAGAGCCAGUAGAGAGAGAACUUCCUUCUCAGCUUAAUUGCAACAAGCCUGACUGAUUCAGGAGCAAACAGGUUUGAGCCCUAGCACCCGUGGAACAUCUGACUAGCUUGGAGCAAACAUGCCUCCCCCACCUUCUCAUGUAUGGAAGGCCUACAUUGCUGAUGCCAAGCUGACUCAUCUAGGCCAUGCUGGGAGAGCAUAGUUAUGCCAACACAAUGUGGAAAGCACCCGGAGGCUCAGAUCCAGCAUAUUUGCAGCAUGCUACAUUCAAAAGGGUGCACGGACCCUUCUGCUUACACCAGCCUCUCUAAACCCUGGAGCGUGAUGGCUGCAGCCAGUAUGGUGGUCUUUCUACCUGGCUUCGACGCGUCCUUGCCCAGUCUGGGGUUGAGAAUGAGUCUGUACUGCCGAAAUCGAGAUGUUCAAACUCCCAGUUCAGUUCUGAUACCCUGAGUUAGUUUGUCACCAUGAUAGAAGGUUUUCUGGGGUAGAUGGUAUGUCUGUUUGCUUCGUUACCAGCAUCAGAACUAUUAAUUGAAGAUCUCCACCAGCACAGCUAAACCAAAUGCCUGUCCUGCACCAGCACAGCUAAACCAGCUGCCUGCCCUGCAGCUCGUUAGAAUCGUGUCACUAGUUUGGCAACUUCUUCACAGAUUUUCCAGCAGUUCUUUGCAUGUGAAAGAGAUGUGCAAAGCUAUAUGUGGAAUAUGUACAGAUUAAUUACCUAAAUACACUACACUCAAAUUUUUGGUUAAAGCACUUUGGUAAACAAAUCUAAAAUUGUUUGAGUUUAAAACCUUAUCAUUGAUGUUCUGCAAGCAGAGUAUCCUAUAAAAUGCUUGAAUUGCAGCAGUUUUGUGUGUAUGGAGUACAUUUUAAUGCAUUCAGGGCCAAAACCAGAUCCCAGCACCUAGCCAGACCGCGAGUGGGAGUAUGAAGAAGGGUCAGCAGUUGAAGUAGCCUACAUGGGAUGGUGACAUGCCCUUCAAUGGAGGGGAGUGGGAGGAUCAGUGAACCAGAUCCUCUAGGCCAUCCACAUGCUGCCAUAUGAGGAGCUCCCUGAGCAAGUAUACAUCCCCAUCCUUGCAUGACUCCCCCACACUCUCAUCCCCUGUCUACGAUCCUCUGUGACAGCCAGGAUGGAUUCCCCACCUGCUUCUGUAGAACUUCAGAAGUUGUUUUUGGCCCCUUCUAUGGGAGCUUCCUGUGGAGCCCUAAUGCUAUUGGUGGCCAGUCCACACCCAGCACUUGAAUCAUCUUCAUACAGCACACAUCUCUAAAGAAGUCUUAGGAGCUUUCCCACGAAACCCGUUUCAUGGUUCCUCUUGGGUUCGAAGUGAAAGCGUCACACUAGGGAUGCACAGGCAGAGAUUCGAGCUGCCUCCUGCCCUUCCUUGUGUGGCUGUGGAGGCUACGUCAUAUUCUCCCACUGCUAUUAAGGUUCAGGCUGGUCAGGCAAUACCAAUUGCAUCUCUUGUGCCAUA